GCAUCGGUGGCGUAGUGGUAGCACGCGCCCCCGCUAUGGGACUAACGCGGGUUCAACUCCCGCUUGAGGUC